AUAUAGGUUCUAAUUUUUAGAUCAAUAGGGAAAGAGGUGAAAAUCCUCUGCAGCCCCCGUUACUGUAAUGUGGACUAUUAUUCAAGAUAACCACUGUGAUUAUUCAUGGGAAGGUGAAUUAAUAGGAUGAAGCUGAGCCAGGAGACCUGCCUACUAUACUA
rnacentral:ncRNA from 1 species